rnacentral:rRNA from 1 species
CCUACGGGAGGCAGCAGUGGGGAAUCUUGGCCAAUGGACGAAAGUCUGAGCCAGCGACACCGCGUGGGGGAUGAAGGCCUUCGGGUUGUAAACCUCUUUUCUGGGGAAAGAAUAAGGACGGGAGGAAAUGCCCGUCCGAUGACGGUACUCCAGGAAUAAGCAUCGGCUAACU